GCAACAGAUAGCUCAGUAGAACAUGAGACUCUUAAUCUCAGGGACAUGGGUUUGAGUCCCAUGUUGGGCA